AUUAUCCUUGGUAAACUCCAAUUAGCUAUAAUAGUCAAAUGGUAACAUCAAUGAUGUUUAUAUGCAAUUAUAAGCCUAACCAUGGUUAAUUAUUUAUUUUUAAAUAAAAUUAUUAAAAAAUUUAAAAAAUUUCCUUUCCCCCACUCACCCAGCCACCACCUGACCCCCUCUUCGGCCGGCGACACCAAGCUCCGACGAUCCCCUACCCCUCAACUCCCUCCCUUCCGACGACCCCCAACCCUCCCUCACUCUCGAUUCCCACCUUCCCUCUCCCACUCCCACUCCCCCACCCCGAUUCCCAUCCCUUCUCACUCGAUCCCUAACGAAAAUUCGACCACUCCGGCCUCCCUUUCCCCGAAAACGCUCGCUUCUCCUGUUCCCUACCACCUUGAAUGGUUGAAUGCCACAAAUCUGCCCAUUUCACGCACAAAAUUCCUACAAAACAACCUCUUUUCUUGUGAAAUUAUUUGAACAACCUUAAUAUAAUGUAGUGAAAUUGAGAUGGUCUUGGGGUUCAAAGGCAAAAAGAACUGAUUCCUAGGAAAAUUAGGAAGGAGGAGAUGAAGGUAAAGGUUGAAAACGACGUCGACGAAAUUGAAGGUGAAGGUGUAGGCGAGGGUGAAGGUUAAAAUUGCAGAGCUGAGUUUUGGAGGUUCAAAUUCGGGAAAUUUCUAGGGAUUGUUUGGGGAAGGGGAUUCGAGGCUGAAUUGAGGCCGACGGUGGGCGGUGGUGGCUGCUGUCGGAUUGGGGGAGUGGGAGGUCGGUGCGCCGGUGACAGAGAGGUUGAGCAUCGGUGUCAGUGGGGCCGAUAGUGGUGGGCGGUUGGAGGGGUAAAAGGUGGGUUUUUUAAAAAAAAAUUUUGUAUAAUUUUUUUUUAAAAGUAAUAAAUCUAUAGUAACAUAUAAAGUGAAAGGGGGUUUUGGGUGAUAAAUUUGUAUUUUCCCAAAAUGCCCUUCUCUAUUUCCUAAUUUACUUUUUUUUUUAUUUAGAUUUUUUUAAAAAAAUUGACCAGUAAAACCACGUUUUAGUUGGUUACUUGAAAAAAAAAUGGAUUUUUUUUAACUUAUCCACAUUUUACUUCAUUGACUGUUGUCAAAAACAAAACAAAAUUGUUGCGAUAAUAAAGUCCUACGUAGUCUAUUGCUCCCAGUACAUCUUCAUACAGUUUGAAUGAAAUUAUACUCCACUUACAAAAAAAGUUAAGCCUAUUGCUCAAUCUUUUAUGGUUAAAACUCAACGAUUAUAUUUUUGAGGUUUACCUACAAUAUGUCUACACCAUAUGCACCUUUUAUAUAUUUACAUCCAUAUUCUCGAAAGUGGAAUGUGAAAGCCCGGCUUAUCAGAUCGUUUGACAUUCAAAAUACGAAACAUGGUCGAAAAAUAUGGAAAAUGAUUUUAAUUGACGCUACGGGAGAGCCAAUUCAAUGUGUCAUAUUCUCAAAUGAUGUCGAUCAGUUUGUUGGAAAAUUACAGGAGGGAUUGGUAUAUUUGUUUGAAGGUGCACAUGUAAUUGAUGCCGAUGAUUGGUUAAGGUUAAUACCAAAUCAAUACCAAUUGAAUAUAACUUGAGAAACAAAGGUGUCAGUUAUUGAUACAAAUGAUGACGAAUUCCCAAAAAGUUUCUACAAUUUAGUUUCCCUACAUGGUGUAAAUUCCUUAAAAAAUUUCGCAAAAAAUUUGAUAGAUGUCAUGGGAAUUAUUAUUUAUUCAACUGGAACUAUCGCGAUUGACAAUGGAGAAAGUAUUAAACAAGACAUUGUUAUACUCGACCAAAGUUGCUUUGCUAUGAGAUUGACCAUAUGGAAUUAUUUUGUGAAUGAAAUCGGCAAACACCUUUUGGAAAACAUUCACCAAAAUAACAUCUUGCUAGGGUGUGGGCUACAAAUUAAAUACUUUAAUGGGUCAUUAUUUUUAACAACAGGAAAAUACACAAGGUUGUAUAUAAACCACAAUGAUCCUACUUCUUCUAGCUUGAUGCAGUGGUUUCACAAUGAUCAUUUUGCACAAUUAAAAGUCAAGUGGAUACAAACAUGUGACCUUUCACUGGAUAAGACACUUACAACAUCAAAUGCAUGACGUACAACAAUAUCUCAAUUUCCAUCAAUGCCAAAAGUAAUUUCAUCUCAAUUUUACCUACAUUUUUAUUAUGAUUUUUACCUUACAUUACUAUAUCACUUAGCUAUUUUUAAAUGUCUAUUAAAUAUUUUUUUUAAACGUGUCAUUUAUUUCAGGGGAAAAUUUACAGAAUAAUUGGAAUGUUGAUAGAUAUAAAUUAAAAAAAAUUUCAAUUGGUAUGAUGUGUGCUCUAUUUGCAACAAUAAGGUGUACUACAAUGUUGGUCAAGUAAUAUGUUAUAAGUGUCACAAAAAUGAUGUUCAAAUUAUUCAAGGGUGAGUUAUUUAUUUAAUUUUUAUUUAAAGUUUUUGCAACAUUAUAUUUUUUUAGUCGUAGGUUUCUUAUUCAUUUAUAUUUUGUUUGGGUUGCUCUUACAAUUACUAUCAGAGACUCAAGUGGGUCAAUGCGUCUAAUAUUGUUCAACAAACAAAUUGAGUAUCUUCUUCGUUCUACAAUAUCUGAAGUUAAGGAAUGGAUUGAAUCGGUAUACACUAAUACAUUUACAUGAAUAUUUACAAUAUUUAUUAUUGAUUUCAACUAUUUUAAUUUAUAUAUUUAAUUUAAUUCAUUUUUUAACUAUUGUCCCACUAUAUCAUUAUAGGUAAAUGAGGGAUCAAAACUUAAGGAGAAGUGUCAAUUGAGUUUGUACAAUGCAUAUGUUUUCACAAUAAUUUCUCCAAGUACGCAUUCUCCUCUACUACCCUACAAAGUCAAUUUUGUGACAUCCGUCAGUUGGAAAGAAGAAUGUGCACAUUUACUCCAAAGGAUACAUAAUGAUAUCAACAACUCAGUGGAAAAAUCAUAAGAUGGGCGAAAGUCUAUCUUCAACAAUUUCUUAGGAACUUUUUAUGUGUAUAUGUGUUUGCUUACUUAGAUUGUACAUAUUUUAGAAAAUCUCCACACUUUUUCUAUUAGUACUCUUUUAAGUACUUUAGUUGAUGAGUUCCUUUAUGUAAAUAUUAUAUUCUAAAGGUUUUAACAGAUAUAUGUGUAUUGUAUAGAUUUUAUUAGAUAUAUAUGUAUAGUACUUUAUUAGAUGAAUUUUAAAUACUUUAUUUAUUUUAUUUUAUUUUUAAAUAAGAUGACAAAAAACAAAGA